AUGGAGGACUUCGGUUACUCUUCCGACGAGCAUCUCCAACCCAGCGCCAAGCUCAGCCUAUUCUUCAAGGGCGUGGCGACGGCACUCCAGCGGCUUCGGGAGAAGAUCCCAAAGCAGCUGGCCGACGAGUCACGCAGGAUUUGUGCCGGUGCUCUUCAGAAGGUGCUGAUGAAGGUGGCCUUCCGCAACCCAGGCCUCAAAUUCACCAACGUCCUCAAAUCCUUGCCGGCGGAUGCCGACGUGGAAGCGCUCAAGGCCCUUGUUGCACCCAUUGUGGACAAGGUGAGCGGGAUCAAGAGGGUCGAGGGCGAUCGUGUAGACUAG
rnacentral:rRNA from 1 species